CUGGGUGCCCCAGGCUGGAGCUAGGGUGCACCAGCCCCAAAGGGCAGGGCCCUCGCAGGAGCCAGGCCUGGAGGGCCUCAGAGAUGCAUGCCUGUCACCCUCAUGGCAGGGCUGGGCCACAGGGCAGCUCCCAGAGGAGAUACCACCCUCAGCCUGCCAGAAUCCCCGUAAGCAGUGGCUGAUAGUCGACACCAGAGGACCCACACCCAGCCCUGCAUGGGAGCCAUGCCUGGCAGGUGGUCCUGGGGUGGAGGGCGCUCCAGCACCUCCUCUAUUCCCAGUGCGCAGUGGGGACACUCUGCUGAGUCCCACUCCUGCUGAGAGCAGGUGGCUGGUGUUGAUGCACCACACCUACCAGGCUGGGCUGAAACCACCAGGCUGCCCGUGAGCUGGCCCCAGGUCCGCACUGGCCCCAGCUGGGGCUGUUCCCACCCGGGAAUGGACUGGGUGAGUGGAAGCGAAGUGAGGUGCAUGGAGUGGGCAAACGGAGGCAAGUUACAGGCUGGGUCCUCUCUGACCCCAGAGAUGAGCACAUGGCACAACAUGCCCCCAGGAGCCAGUGUGAGGGCACCAGGGCCCCAGCAGGGCCAGCAUCUGGGGGCAGUGUGGACAAGAAUUCUCCAAAAUGAGGGACAUUCCAAGAGCUUUCCAAAAUCCAAGGAUCAGCAAUGAGAGCAACAGGGGAUUUCUGAAGAAAGAUGUGUACACGUGUAUAAGAGUGUGUGGUGUGUGUGCAUGUGGGCUGAUGUGUGUAUACAGGGGUGUGUGGUGUGUGCAUGUGUGUCUAUAGAGGUGUGUGCUGAUGUGUGUACAGGGGUGUGUGUGUAUGUGUGUAUAGCGGAUGUUUGGUAUAUGUGUGCUGAUGUGUGUGUAUGGGGGCGUGUACAGGGUGUGCAUGUGCUGAUGUGUGUUUGGGUGUGUGUGUGUGAUGUAUGUACAUAGUGUGUUGUGCAUGUGUGCUGAUGUAUGUAUAGGGGUGUGUGUGCUGAUGUAUGUACAGGGGGUGUGUGGUGUGUGCAUGUGUGAUGUGUGUACAGGGCGUGUGUGUACAUGUGUGCUGAUGUGUGUACAGGGGGUGUGUGGUAUGUGUGCUGAUGUGUGUAUAGGAGGUGUGUACAUGUGUGCUGAUGUGUGUACUGGGGGUGUGUGGUAUGUGUGCAUGUGUGUAUGGGGGGUGGGUGGUGUGUGUACAUGUGUGUAUGAUGUGUGUACAGGUGGUGUGUGCCUGUGUGUGCAAACGUGUGUGUGUAUAGAGUGUGUGGUGUGUGUAGGGUUUUUGGGGGUGUGUGUGUGUUCAGGCACAGUGUACCCUAAGGUGAGAAACGUGGCCCGAAACAGAAGAAAUGUGAUAAAGGAACAAGUCUUCCAGAAAAAUCCAGUAAUUACGAAUUAUAAAUUUCUAUGCCACGAAUAAUAGCCUUAAGGUACAAAAGUGAAAACUGACAGAGCUUAACAGACCCAUGCAAAUUAGUUGUGACAGAAAGUUUUAACCCAGGAAAUGGGAGAUCUGAACAGCAAGGCCACAAGCUUGACCCAUGACAUCUCUCGGCCAUGGACUCAGCAGGGGGACUAGACUCCCAAGUGGGCCAGGGUGUACCGAGCACAUCAGCAGGUGCCCGGGAUGGCGAUCUCACACAGUGUGGUGGAUCCCAACGCAGAGCAGCCGACUUUAGGCCACAUGUGAGCAAGGAGAGAUGAACAUGAGAAACUACCUAGCAGGCAGGAUCAGCUGGAGCCCCACGCUGCUGAGGUGGCCUUGUAGGGUGGAAGCUGCAGACUGUCGGGCGAUGGGGCCCUGCCACCUGUCACCUCUGCAGAAAGGCUUAGGCGGAGUGGGCUUGGGAUUGAGCAAGGUUUCAAGGGCCCAACGACUGCAACUGUGGUCACCCCAUCCCCACUGAGGGCACCUGAGAUGGUUUCGCCCUGGGUGCCCGGAGCCACCUGCCCAGGGCAUAGCCUCUGGGUGGGCAUGGCCUCUGGCUCCCACUAAGCACUUGGGGUGCAGGUUUCAGAGUGACCCCAAGGCUGCUUUCCCACCCAGAAGGAGGGGGCUUUAUUAACUGUUCACAAAAUUAUAGCCUUACAUAACAGUUAUUUCUAAGUAUCCAGCUCAAGCAAUUAGAAAACAAACAGCAAAUGUAGUUUAAUGAAAACAGAUGGACAUAUUAAAAUGGCAAAUGAAAAGAAAAAGUAUAUAUUUAUAUCUGUGUAAAACAGGAAGCACCAGGAAGCCCAAAAACCAAGUUAGGUCUUGGGACGGCUGAGACUAUUCAGAUGCCUGUGUCAAGACUAAUAACAAAAGCAGGAGCAGCGACAUUUCUGCUGAGGGGCAUGCAGAGGGUCCCUGGGCCCUGCGCGGGUGGAGGAAGGAAAGUCUCACUGUUUCCACAGACAACAAGUCCCAUGUAAACAACCGCAAAGGAUCUACAAAUAAAGUGUCAGAAUUAAUAAGUAAUUUACCAAAGUCACUAGGUAAAGGCAAUUAAAAAAAAUCAAUGCCUAGUCAUAAACAAUGAAAAAUAUUUUUAAAAGACACUGUUAACAAAAAC